rnacentral:rRNA from 1 species
UAAAAAAUUUUGGCGGUAUUUUAAGCUUAUUAGAGGAAUUUGGUCUGUGAUGGACACAACGCCUUAAUCUUACUUAAUUUAGUAAUUUAAAUCAGUUUGUAUACCACUAUUUUAAUUAUUUUGAAUAGUUAUAUUUAAAAUUUUUUUUUAAAAAAAUAUAUUAAGUCAAGGUGCAUCUAAUAAUUAUGAAUGAAGUGAAUUACAUUAAUUUUAAUGUAAUUUUUUACAUGAAAAAAUUAAUUAGGAUUUAAUAGUAAAAUACUAAUAUUAUGAGUAUUUGAAUCAAGCUCUAAAAUAUGCACAUAUCGCCCGUCGCUCUCAGAAGUGAGAUAAGUCGUAACAAAGUAAAAAUACUGGAAAGUGUUUUUUAAAAUGAAAUCAUUUGAUGUUUCAUUUACAAUGAAAAUUUUGUUGUUUAACCAUUUUAA